rnacentral:pre_miRNA from 1 species
UUAACUCAUAUUUGUAUGGAAUGGGAUCGUUUGCGUACGUUUGCCGCUAGGGGCGCUGUUCCAACUGCAUACUAAAUUGGGUUA